AAUCAACGCUGGCGGCGUGCCUCAGACAUGCAAGUCGAACGAGAAAGUUUCCUUCGGGGAAUGAGUAAAGUGGCGCACGGGUGAGUAACACGUAGGUAAUCUACCUUCGGGUGGGGAAGUAACCCAGGGAAACUUGGGCUAACACCGCAUAAUGCAGCGGCACCACAUGGUGACAGUUGUUAAAGCGGGGGAGUUUUAGGACCUCGCGCCUGAAGAGGAGCCUGCGGCGGAUUAGCUAGUUGGUAAGGUAACGGCUUACCAAGGCGACGAUCCGUAACCGGCCUGAGAGGGCGGGUCGGUCACACUGACACUGACAUACGGGUCAGACUCCUACGGGAGGCAGCAGUCGGGAAUUUUGGGCGAAUGGGCGAAAGCCUGACCCAGCAACGCCGCGUGAAGGAUGAAAUCCCUCGGGAU
rnacentral:rRNA from 1 species